rnacentral:rRNA from 1 species
CCUACGGGAGGCAGCAGUGAGGAAUAUUGGUCAAUGGACGAGAGUCUGAACCAGCCAAGUAGCGUGAAGGAUGACUGCCCUAUGGGUUGUAAACUUCUUUUAUAUGGGAAUAAAAUGUUCCACGUGUGGGAUUUUGUAUGUACCAUAUGAAUAAGGAUAGGCUAACUCCGUGCCAGCCGCCGCGGUAAUACGGAGGAUCCGAGCGUUAUCCGGAUUUAUUGGGUUUAAAGGGAGCGUAGGUGGAUUGUUAAGUCAGUUGUGAAAGUUUGCGGCUCAACCGUAGAAUUGCAGUUGAAACUGGCAGUCUUGAGUACAGGAGAGGUGGGCGGAAUUCGUGGUGUAGCGGUGAAAUGCUUAGAUAUCACGAAGAACUCCGAUUGCGAAGGCAGCUCACUGGACUGCAACUGACACUGAGGCUCGAAAGUGUGGGUAUCAAACAGGAUUAGAUACCCCUGUAGUC